rnacentral:rRNA from 1 species
AAUCUUGCGCAAUGGGCGAAAGCCUGACGCAGCGACGCCGCGUGAGGGAAGAAGGCCUUCGGGUUGUAAACCUCUUUCAGGAGGGACGAAGCCACUCGGGUUAAUAGCCCAGAGGGUGACGGUACCUCCAGAAGAAGCCCCGGCUAACUACGUGCCAGCAGCCGCGGUAAUACGUAGGAGGCGAGCGUUGUCCGGAGUUACUGGGCGUAAAGGGUUGGUAGGCGGCCGCGCGCGGGGCGGGUGAAAUCUCCCGGCUUACCCGGGAGGGGGCUUGCCAGACGGCGCGGCUUGAGGGACGGAGAGGGGCGUGGAAUUCCGGGUGGAGCGGUGAAAUGCGUAGAGAUCCGGAGGAACACCGACGGCGUAGGCAGCGCCCUGGCCGUGCAAUAACCCUGACGCUGAAGCACGAAAGCUGGGGGAGCGAAC